rnacentral:rRNA from 1 species
UACGUAGGGGGCAAGCGUUGUCCGGAAUCAUUGGGCGUAAAGAGCGUGUAGGCGGCCAGAUAAGUCCGCUGUGAAAUCUCGAGGCUCAACUUCGAGCUGUCGGUGGAAACUGUCUGGCUAGAGUCCGGAAGAGGAGAAUGGAAUUCCUGGUGUAGCGGUGAAAUGCGUAGAUAUCAGGAGGAACACCUGUGGCGAAAGCGGCGCACUGGACCACAACUGACGCUGAGGCGCGAAAGCUAGGGGAGCAAACAGG